CAUUUGUUAGGCCUUCUCAAGUGGGAAUCAGGAACGCUGCUGUGCUCUAGAGAUGUUUUGUUCUUCCUGUAGGGCUGAAGCAGUGCCUACUCGAUAGAAUCAGUCAUCAUGCAAAUAAAUGCCACCUGAGUCAAAGGCAAAGCCAGCGUGCAGCUUGGAGCAAAGAAGUUAAAAGAAUAUUGGCACAGGAAGAGCCCUGGCAUUCCAGCAGGAGCUAACAGGAAAAAGAAAAUCAAUGGCAGUAGCCCGGACACAACCACUUCUGGUGGUUACCACUCACCUGGGGAUUGAGCAACAGGUAUCUACGGGGAGGGCCCUGCAUCAUCUGCUACCCUGAAGGAUCUGGAGAGCCAGUACUAAGAACUAGCAGUGGCCCUGGAUUCAAGCUCCGCAAUAAUCAGUCAACUCAGUGAAAACAUCAGUUCACUG
rnacentral:sRNA from 1 species